GUGGCCUCCACGUGCCUGUAUGACCUCCCUACAACGCCUGUGCAUGCUCCUGAUGAGGUGGCGGAUGGUCUCCUGAGGGAUCUCCUCCCAGACCUGGACUAAAGCAUCUGCCAACUCCUGGACAGUCUAUGGUGCAACGUGACGUUGGUAGAUGGAGCGAGACAUGAUGUCCCAGAUGUGCUCAGUUGGAUUCAGGUCUGGGGAACGGGCGGGCCAGUCCAUAGCAUCAAUGCCUUCGUCGUGCAGGAACUUCUGACACCCUCCAG